CGGCGUUUGAAGAUGAGGGCUAUAAAAAGCGGCGCCAGGACAGGCCUCGGCCUCUUUCCUUCAGCGCCGCGCUCCGUGAGGGAACCAUCUUCGUGUUUAUUGCCCUUCUGCGUGGAAUCCGUCGCCAUCCUGGUUCGCCUGCGUGGCCGGUGGGGUCUUAAGCAGAGAUGUCGCUCACUGAGGUCGUGGGGAUCCCGUUUCGGAGAGUCUUGGUGGCCGAACUCGGUUCGGAGGCAGAUGGGCCUACUAGGCCUCAAACCGCGCCUAGGCCUCAGGACUGAGGACCUAAAGGGACUUGUGCCUUUUCUCAUGGAGGUUCCUUGAGUUCUGUUCAGAGCCACAGGUUUUGGAGUCAAGUGAUGUCAUUGUCUCAGUAUAGGUAGUCGGGCUUACUAUCAGUAAGGCAUGCAAGAAAUGGUUGUGCAGAGCGAUGAACUUCUUGUUCCUCUGAAAAGACUCCUCAACUUGGCUGAUGGCUUAGGUCUUCAAAGACGUGGGGAUUUAUCAUGGAACACACUUAACAAAGAAAAACUCAUCUACUGGCAACUUUGGGAGGAUCUGUAGAGCUAUGAAUGAAAUAGCCAUAUUCCAUACUUGUUUUAUUAAAGGAUUUUUAAAAAAUCAUGAGAAACAGUCUUCAGUCUCUUUUGUUUACUUUGCCGUGUGGUUUGACUUAAAAUGUGCCUUCCCUUUGUUACUAGAGUGAAUAUCGUGUCCGUGAAACAUAAUUAUCCAAAUUAUACUACAAAAUAAAGGAGUUUGGGUCAAGCAGUAAUGCCUUUUCUGCAGUUCAGUUUCAGCACUGGAAACAAAUGGCUAGGCUCAAAAUGUUAUUUGAAAUAUAUUAUUCAAUUCUAUGCCUAUGGUUUUUUGCAUUUGGCUCCAGUUUGUAUAUGUUUUUGGUCUGAUGGAAAACAACAACCCAAAGUAUUGGCCCAAACAGAAGUGCUAGCCCUAAUUAGAAAAGUCAUUGUGCAUUUAUAAGGUUUGCAUAUAUUUUCACUAAAUAUUCACAGCAUUUGAUUCAGAAGAUAUGCUCCAGUUUGGACUAGUCCUACGUUUUAAGCAUCAGUAAAUGUAUAAAUCUUUAAAGCUUAUUCACCAAAGAUACUUUGGUUCCAUUGCUAAAAGAACUGGGAGUUGCAAAAGUCCAUCUCUUUAAGACACCCAGUCUGCUAAUGGAAUGCCAAUUUACUUCCCAUUUUGCCUUAAGAAAAGAGAUACAUAACUUCUACAGCCAUUUCCCAGCAUUCUGAUCUGUAGCUCCUUGGAACUCCUCUAUUUGGGGCAUUGUCUCUCUUUCAGAGGUAGUGUUUUUGUGGUCAUGUUCAGGCAUAAAUUGUGUGAUUUAUAAAUUCUAAAUAGAGAGAGUGGCGUCUCUGGAAGGUAUCCAAAGCUUCCACAGCCUGCAAAUCACCCAUACGUGUUGAGCCAGCAAAUAUAUAAGGGCAAUUUGUAACGGAUACUGCUGUGGUUUUGUUUUUCAAACUUGCAUUCUUCAACAUGUUAAAUGCUAAGUUAAUAGUUUUCUUUGUGGCUUUUAACUAGUGUCCUAGCAGAUGUGCAAAAUCCAUGAAAUACGAACUUUAGCUUCAGUGUGGGUGCUUUAGAAUUAAGCCCGAAAGACAUACAACAACCCAAUUAAAUUACUACAGUAGAGUCUCACUUAUCCAAACUAAAGGGGCUGGCAGAAGCUUGGAUAAGCGAAUAUCUUGGAUAAUAAGGAGGCAUUAAGGAAAAGCCUAUUAAACAUCAAAUUAGGUUAGGAUUUUACAAAUUAAGCACCAAAACAUCAUGUUAUACAACAAAUUUGACAGAAAAAGUAGUUCAAUACACAGUAAUGUUAUGUUGUAAUUACUGUAUGAAUUUAGCACUAAAAUAUCAUGAUAUAUUGAAAACAUUGACUACAAAAAUGGCUUGGAUAAUCCAGAGGCUUGGAUUAGUGAGACUACUGUAUUUUUAAAAAUAUACAAGUGCUUAUGCAAAUAUUUCACGGGUGGUGGGUUUAGUGAUUUUUAUUAGUGGUAUUCUGUAAGAUAUACUAGUUCUGCUGCUUCAUAUUAUAUGGUCUAAGUCACAUUUGGAGCAACAAAAUCUCAAGGUUUGAAAGACUGCUGGGUCAUAAUGAAGACCUGUCUCAUUCAGUUUUAUUUACAUAUUUUUUUUCCUGUGUCAGGAGUGACUUGAGAAACUGCAAGUUGCUUCUGGUGUAAGAAUUGGCUGACUGCAAGGGGACAUUGCCAAGAUGUUUGAUGUCUUAAUUAUCCUUAUGGGACUCUUCUCGUGUCUGUAUGGGGAUCUAGAGCUGUCAGAAGGAGCUCGCCCGCUCUCCCUGAAUUCAAACUGCUGACCCGUUGGCCAAUAUGCACCUCCAUACUAGCUUGAGUUCUUGCCGAUGCCCAGGUUAGGUAUUUUGUUAUGGUAGAGGUUGGAAGUAGUUAUUGUUUUGGGGAGCAAGCUUCCCUUCUGCUGCCCUGGAGACUAGGACGCAAUAAUAAUAAUAAUUUUAUUUUUAUACCCUGCCCCAUCUCCCCGAAGGGACUCGGGGCGGCUUACAUGGGGCCUUGCCCAAUAAAACAAUCAAAUAUUAAAACACAGCAAUAAAACAAUUAUCCAAUAAAAACAUCAAUUACAGUAAAAACAAUCGUUAAAAUCGACAUAAAACACACAAUAUUAACACAGGAGACUAAUUCAUUGAACCCAGGCAAAGUGCAGAAUGGGCCGAAAUGGGGAAGGUAAUUUCACAGUAGAAAUGGACAAAAUGCAAUAUAACAUUGGCAACACCUUGAGAAUGGGGCUAUUAUAAUCAUGGGAUUUUUAGGUAAAUGCAACAUUUCUAUUAAUUAAACUAUCCUUUUCACUAGCAAUCGGGUCCUGGCUGAGCCUGAUAAUGCCAUGUGUCCUUAAGGUUAAAUCUAUGCCCGAAAAAGGUUAGCGCAACUAUGUUUUCUGUGCAUAUCCUGGAACUCCCUAAAGUUGAAUCGUUAGCUGUUUUCAAGGAUUGGCAAAUUGCAGGCGCAUGACUUAAGGGGCAGAGGAGCUGAUUAGAUAAAUAAAGAGUAAAUAAGGGGACAUGAGGCAAGCAGAACUCAGUCCCGAUGUGAUUGUAUUAUCUGUUUUUAGAGGUUGAAGGGGGGUUGUUUGGGGAUUUUAUGAAUGUUUAAACCAGGCUUGGGUCUUGCACCUUUUACCUUUGUCAACUCGAUAUAGACACAGGGUCUAUUCCCAUCCCAAUUUGCACUUCCAGAAUUUGUAGCACUUUAUCAGUCACCUUGUGUUUACAAUAUUUAUAUGGUGCACCUUACCCAGUCUACUUUUACAAUCUCUCAGUUUUAAUCCAUGUUUUUAUUAGUUCUUGUUUUUUAUUGGCUAAUGUUUUAUUUUAUUUUAUUUUAUUUUUUAUUGUGCAAGUUGUUGUCUAUUGCUGUGUUUUAUACUGCUACUGUUUUUAUUCGGGCUUGGCCCCAUGUAAGCCGCCCUGAUUCCCCUCCGGGGAGAUAGAGGCGGGGUAUAAAAAUAAAGUUAUUAUUAUUAUUAUUAUUGGGUCUAUUUCCAAGUGUUUUGGACUCCAACUCCCACCAUUCCUGGCCUCAGGCCCUUUCCUUUUGCCCCUCCGCCGCUUAAGCGGCGGAGGGGCAAAAGGAAAGGGCCUGAGGCCAGGAAUGGUGGGAGUUGGAGUCCAAAACACUUGGAGAGAAACUCAAGCCUGAUUUAAAGUCUAGUUUGAUCCAAUCACUCUUGCAGCACAAUGAUGAUGCAUGUGUCCUCGUUCCCUUCCCCCUUGUCUCUUGCAAAAGAAAAUAAAUCCUAUCAGAUUUCUCUCGAGGAGAUAAAGGGUAGGUGGGAAUGCUUUUGGGUGGGGCGGCGAAGCCUUCUUCCCAACCAAGCACAUUCUCAGUCCUCCCGCCGACCUGCUUGGACCAUGGAUGUUGCCACUCCGGAGACUGAGCUGGAACCCGCUUCUCCCGUCCACCUCAACGGCAACUGGCACUACCAGUUCCGGAUCCUCUUGCUGGGCGACUCCACGGUGGGCAAGACGUCCCUGCUGAGGCGCUACACCGAGCGGUGCUUCGUCCCGGCCCCCUGCCCCACGGUGGGAGUGGAGUUCUACAGCCGGAUGAUGGAGCUCCCGCCGGGGGUCAAGGUGAAGCUGCAGCUCUGGGACACGGCGGGGCAAGAGAGGUUCAGGUGCAUCACCAGGUCCUUUUACCGGAACGCGGUGGGCGUGCUUUUCAUCUUCGACAUGACCAACCGCCGGUCCUUCGAGAGCAUUUUUGAUUGGUACAACGAAGUGACCAACAUGAUGGACAAGGUCAUCAUCCUCCUGGUGGGCCACAAGUGCGACCUCCAGUCCAUGAACCGGGUGACCGUGGAGGAAGCCCAGGGGCUGGCCACCUCCCUGGGGACGCGCUUCAUCGAGACCUCCGCCAAGGAGAACGUCAACGUGGACCUGGCCUUCGAGACCAUCGCCCACACCAUCUACGAGGCCCUGAGGAGCAAGGAGAUCGACCUGCAGGACGGCUGGGACGGCGUGAAGGUCAUCCACAAGCGGAGGGCCAGCAGCCUGCAGAGGAAGAAGAAGCCGCCGCCGCCAUCGCAAGGGAAAUGCCAGUGCUGAUCCAGCCAGAAAUACCGAACACUCACGCAUGGACAAGACUCUUCUCUAGACAGAAGACACUGAGGCCUUAUCCAGCUUCGGCCUUCCCUCCAGGUUUUUCGGACUCCAACUCCCACAAUUCCCAACAACCUGGAGGCUGGAGAGAAACCUCAAAUCUCUCCCUCAGUUUGAGUCCACUUCAGGGGAGAUCAACCGGGUAUAAAAGAAUAUAAUCUAUCUAUCUAUACACAUAAUAAAAGUGAAAAAAUGUGUAUGUGGUGGAUGGUUCCACUUCCAUAGACAGCCUCGCACCUCCACAAACAGGGGACACCCGUGGCCCCCCCUCCACUGACAUGUAUUGUGAGUGGGGUAUACAUUAAAUAAAUAUAAUAAUAACAAUAUUGCGAGUGGGAUAUACGUGAAAUAAAUAUAAUAAGAACAAUGUAUUGUGAGUGGGGUAUACAUGAGAUAAAUAGAAGAAGAAGAAGAAGGUAUUGUGAGUGAGGUAUACAUUAAAUAAAUAUUAUAAUAAUAACAAUGUAUUGAGAGUGGGGUAUACAUGAGAUAAAUAGAAGAAGAAGAACAAUGUACUGUGAGUGAGGUAUACAUUAAAUAAAUAUUAUAAUAAUAAUGUAUUGCGAGUGGGGUAUACAUGAGAUAAAUAGAAGAAGAAGAAGAAGAACAAUAUUGUGAGUGAGGUAUACAUUAAAUAAAUAUUAUAAUAACAAUGUAUUGUGAGUGGCAUAUACAUGAAAUAAAUAUAAUAAUAACAACAAUACAUUGUGAGUGGGGUUGAGAUAAAAAUACAGUAGAGUCUCACUUAUCCAACACUCGCUUAUCCAACGUUCUGGAUUAUCCAACGCAUUUUUGUAGUCAAUGUUUUCAAUAUAUCGUGAUAUUUUGGUGCAAAAUUCGUAAAUACAGUAAUUACUACAUAGCAUUACUGCGUAUUGAACUACUUUUUCUGCCAAAUUUGUUGUCUAACAUGAUGUUUUGGUGCUUCAUUUGUAAAAUCAUAACCUAAUUUGAUGUUUAAUAGGCUUUUCCUUAAUGCCUCCUUAUUAUCCAAGAUAUUCGCUUAUCCAACGUUCUGCCGGCCCGUUUAUGUUGGAUAAGUGAGACUACUGUAAUAACAACAACAAUAUAUUGUGAGUGGGGUAGAGAUAAAAAUAAAUAUACAGUAGAGUCUCACUUAUCCAAUGUAAACGGGCUGGCAGAGUGUUGGAUAAGCGAAUAUGUUGGAUAAUAAGGAGGCAUUAAGGAAAAGCUUAUUAAACAUCAAAUUAGGUUAGGAUUUUACAAAUUAAGCACCAAAACACCAUGUUAUACAACAAAUUUGACAGAAACAGUAGUUCAAUACACAGUAAUGCUAUGUAGUAGUUUCUGUAUUUACGAAUUUAGCACCAAAAUAUCACGAUGUAUUGAAAACAUUGACUACAAAAAUGGCUUGGAUAAUCCAGAACCUUGGAUAAGCGAGAGUUGGAUAAGUGAGACUCUACUGUAAUAAUAACAACAAUAUAUUGUGAGUGGGAUAGAGAUAAUAAUAAUAACAACAACAACAACAACAUAUUGUGAGUAGGGUAUAAAUUAAAUAAAUGUAAUAAUAACAUUGUGAGUGGGGUAUACGUGAAAUAAAUUUAAUAAUAAUACUAGCUGUGCCCAGCCACGCGUUGCUGUGGCUAAGUAUGGUGGUAUGGGAAAUAAAGUAUUGAGGAAUUGGUGGUAGUUAAGGUAAAGGGUCCCCUGGGCUGAGUGGAUUGCUAGGAGACCAAGUGAGUGGAGCUUAGCCUUCUAACUGGCAGUAAUUGGAUAAAAACAAUUAUUCCUCUACCUCUAAUUAGGACUUUAUUUUUCUUUUCUUUUUGUUGUAUCAACCUAGAGGCAUGGAUGAGGGGUUGUGAUGUCAAUUUUCGAGGUUGUGGGGUGAUUACUUUUGUUGUUUUGUCCGCUGCCGUGAUGCCAUCACUCUUUUAUAUAUAUAGAAGAUUGUGAGUGGGGUAUAAAUUAAAUAAAUAUAAUAAUAACA